rnacentral:rRNA from 1 species
AUUGAACGCUAGCGGGAUGCUUUACACAUGCAAGUCGAACGGCAGCGCGGACUUCGGUCUGGCGGCGAGUGGCGAACGGGUGAAUAAUGUAUCGGAACGUGCCCAGUAGCGGGGGAUAACUACGCGAAAGCGUAGCUAAAACCGCAUACGCCCUACGGUGGAAAGCAGGGGAUCGUAAGACCUUGCACUAUUGGAUCGGCCGAGAUCGGAUUAGCUAGUUGGUGAGGUAACGGCUCACCAAGGCGACGAUCCGUAGCUGGUUUGAGAGGACGACCAGCCACAUUGGGACGGAAACAGGGACCAGAGGCCUGCGGGAGGCAGCAGUGGGGAAUGUUGGACAGUGGGGGGAAACCUGAUCCAGCGGUCCCGCGUGUGCGGUGAAGGCCUUCGGGUUGGAAAGCACGUUUGGGAGGAAAGAAACGUCUCGAGCUAAGACGCAGUGGAACGGGCGGUACCUGCAGGAUGAGGACCGGGUAACUAACUG